rnacentral:rRNA from 1 species
UACGGAGGGUGCAGGGCGUUAUCCGGAUUCACUGGGUUUAAAGGGUGCGUAGGCGGGCAGGUAAGUCAGGGGUGAAAUCUUCGAGCUUAACUCCGGAAACUGCCUUUGAUACUAUUCUGUCUUGAAUUAUGGUGGAGGUAAGCGGAAUAUGUCAUGUAGCGGUGAAAUGCUUAGAUAUGACAUAGAACACCUAUUGCGAAGGCAGCUUACUACGCCUAUAUUGACGCUGAGGCACGAAAGCGUGGGGAUCAAACAGG